rnacentral:rRNA from 1 species
CAGUCGCCACGGUAAGACAGAGGAUGCAAGCGUUAUCCGGAAUUAUUGGGCGUAAAGGGCUCGCAGGCGGUUUCUUAAGUCUGAUGUGAAAGCCCCCGGCUCAACCGGGGAGGGUCAUUGGAAACUGGGAAACUUGAGUGCAGAAGAGGAGAGUGGAAUUCCACGUGUAGCGGUGAAAUGCGUAGAGAUGUGGAGGAACACCAGUGGCGAAGGCGACUCUCUGGUCUGUAACUGACGCUGAGGAGCGAAAGCGUGGGGAGCGAACAGGAUUAGAUACCCGAGUAGUCCCUGUCUCUUAUAC